UUUCCGUAGGUGAACCUGCGGAAGGAUCAUUAAUGAGUUGUCAUGGGGUUCGAUGCUGGCAGCCAAUUUUUGGAUGCAUGUGCUUGCCCUAACAAUCAUCUUCCAAACCCCUGUGCACAUUUUUGAGGGAGUCUUGAGUUGGUUGCCGCUCUUGGGUGAUUUUCUCACAUUCCCUUAAAUCAUUAUACGCUAUUAACAAUGUUGAACGUGCUCUGUGCCGCAAGGCUAUUAAUAUAAUACAACUUUUAACAACGGAUCUCUUGGCUCUC
rnacentral:misc_RNA from 1 species